UUGACGGUAGGCCUUUGGGCUGCUGUGUAACAGCUGCAGCCCUAGAUCCUUCAUGUGUCUGUUGAACCUUCUCCCUCUGUCCUUUUUCCCUGCCUCUGACAGUUGUGCCCUAAUGAAGUUCCGGCAGCCCUCAGGACACCUCUGGAGCAUCUCCUCCAUAAUUUCAUGGGGACUACGAAAGAACAAGAGGUGGGGAGGCAAGUGGUGGCGGGUUGUCGCAAUCCACCAGUGUGGGGAUGGCAUCUCUGUUGGAUCUUGAUGCUGUGGCAACGGACAAGUCUUCUUCCUCUUUUAUUAUAUUGUUGUUCCUCUGUCAUUUUUUCCCUGCCUAUGUUCAGUGUUGUUACCAAUGACAAGUGGUGUAGAUGGUUUUCCCUCUGUGCAAGGUCAUUAGCCCAAUGCCUACAAAAAAAAUAACUACAGUAAUAGCAGAUUUUGAAGUUGUUAAAUCGUUAACAAACGAUUUGUAUGGGACACUCGGUUAAGGUAAUUUAAGUGCUUGAGUCUCGACACUUUAGAGAAUGUCUAGCGCGCAACUUGAAUAAGCCAUGUGCGAUUUUACCCGGGCUCCAGCGCAACUUUCCCUACCAGGUGCAGCCUCAGGUAGCCUAGGACCAUUCAUACAGGAGCAAGCAAGAACGUUACCUUUUUCUUUCCUUGGGAAAAGAAAAGAAGGACAAUCCCUUUCCACUGUUG